UUCCCCAUGAUACAAGAAAACAUGGUAUGCUACGGAGAUAGCGAGUUUAAGCACCAUUCGCGCAGAUUCCAACUAACGUCACACUGUGUUUACGUUUUUGACAUUUUUUGAGCAAGCACCAGACAUAACCAUAAAUUUAGGUUAGAAAACAGAGGUUAUGUCAAUUGUUAAAGUUAUUAAUAUUGAAAUUACAAAUUGUAAUUUAACAUAAGCGGGAAGAAUAUUAUUGCAUUGUAAAGGAAGCUUUAAUUUGUAUUAUGAAACUGGCCUAAAGAUCGGUGUAUGCAGCUUCAUUUAAUAAAUCAACCAUAACACGACAUAAGUAAUGCCGCUGUAAAAGGUAAGCAAAUGGAUAUAUUAUAUUAUAAUCAUGUAAUUUACUGAAUAAAUUUCUUUAUUUUCCUUUUAGUGUUUUUCUGAUUUGAAGUUUUCUUGUUUAAUUCUUUGAUUCUAAUAAAAGUUCUAGUUCGAACCAGGCAGUGUAAUACCUCCUUUGGUAAUGUUACCGUUGGAGAUAAUUUAGUUUGAAGUUGAUGUGUUAACUUCUUAAAAAUGUUUGGCGCUUUGUUGAUACCAUCUCCGUUAUAAAGUAGAAACAACGUCUCUAAAAUUUUUGCUGCAUGUAUUAAAUCAGCACAAGGCUGCAGCAAGUUGCCUUGCGAAAGAAAGUGGAUCCAAUUGGAACUGCUUGGUCCAGGUAUAUUUUCCGCAGGAGUUCCAAGAUGUGGAUAUUUUAACCGGAAACGGUGAGCAACAUAUCCAGCAACGUAUUGAAGUCCUUCCUGGCUGACUUGAGUAUUGGGAAGAUUUAUUUCAAUUUCAGCGAACUCGUCAGCAAAGUGGAGAGUUGCCACAUCGCUUUCCUUACUUAACAUUUCAUCUUCAAUACCAGUGUCCAAAAUAUUUGAAAAUAAUGAAUGAGUCAAACAAAUAUCACUGUUACCAGACUCAUCGGAGAAAGAAAAGACUGCAGAGUGUUUGCCCAAAAUGUACCACCUCAACCUGUAUUUAAAGUCAACAGGAUUAGGAUGGUCAUUGCUACCACCCAUGGCACGAAUGAAAGAAAAAAAAUUCUCCAAUACGUCUUGGUUUAGGCGACGUGUUAAAAUGUAGUCCACUUUAAAGAUGUGGGUAAUAUAUUGGUACAAACCUUGCAGGGACUUGUUACUUAUGAUAAUUCCUUUUUGGAAUGGUAACAGUGUUUUUUUCCCAAUUCCUCGAACAUGUGACAUUGUUUCAGUCAUUGUAUUUAUAAUGAGGUCCUGAUGGUCCAAAUUUAUGCCAUAUGCAUUACUUCCAGAAGGACAGAAUUUCAAAUUCGUAUUAAAAAUAUCGAACCAGUCAUUGGCUAAUUUUAUAAAGUUCGAUGUUUCUGCAUAAUUUGUAUCCUUUAUUAAGUUGUUGUCCCCACACCAUUGUAUGGCUUUGGACACUGUGUUAGAAAGUAAUUGUGCAGCAGGUCUGACUUUUUGUCUUUGGCUCCCUUUGACAUCUAAAUGAUAACGACUAAUCUUAUGAGCGAUUUUCAAGUCACUGCCAGAAGAAAUCGAUAAUAAUGAUUCUAUACAGUUUUUUGUGAUCAUUUGUCCGUCAAACACAAAACCAUGGUCCAGAAAAUGAUUUCUCAAUAAUUUCAGAAGAUGCGGCACGUCGGCAAACACAAAAAUUUGUUUGCUUUCAUCAGAUGGAUGAUUAAAACAGCGGUGUCGAAAUCAAAAUAAAUGGGCUGUUUCCAUUGGGCAAAUAGACCACGACACAUUAUUACUUGCACAGCACGAUUUGGACCAAACACUUGUUCAAGUGAUUUAUCAAAACAGACUUGAUGAUUUAUAUACAUUUCAUCAAAAGACAAAACCGUGAUGCGUUCAAGGUCUGUUAAAAUGCGAGCUUUAUCUUUUAUCAAGACUGCCACAGAUUUUAAAAAACCCUGCCUAAUGUCAAAUGAGAGGGCCCAUUUGCGAAGUGUACUCAGAGCUGGUAGUGGAAAUUUGCACUGUUGUCUUUCUGCGUCUGAACAAUGAAGACCAGAAAUGGGUGAAACUGUGGGCUGUACGACUUGGGUUGAACCUUUAUUGCUAGGAGACAUCGGGGUGUGUUGCACAGGGCUAUAUUGUAACAACUGCUGUUGAAGUGAUUUGUAUGAAGCUUCUGAAGAAAAGUGUUCUGAGCAUAUUCGAGCUGAAAUAAAAAAUUCUAAACAUUUUGUUCUGGUUAAUAUGCCUUUAUUUAUUCGCGAAGUGAGAAAAAAAGACAAUUCUAUUUUGCUUACAGUUAGAUAAACUAUUUAUUUUGUACAAAAAUGUUACCUUGUUGCGAAAAAACAAAUCUUUUAUUGUCAAGCGGGUACAUUUAUUCAGAAUUUUGAUAAACUGGCGCUCUAUUUUCAUCGAAUUUUCAAAUGGUCGGGGACAGUGAUACAUAAUUACUUACCAUUUUUAACAUUAAUAUUUCCUCUCAGGCAAAACUUUACCCAUUCGUCACAAAUGUCUUUAUUUUUUGGAAAACGAUAAAACUUAAUAUCUUUACACUUAUAACGGCUAUUGGAGCACCCAAACACUGCACAAGAAGUCAUUUUCGUAAAAAGAGAAUCUUAGCCUGUAGGUACGGCAGUAGAUUACAACUGCUAAUGAAUGGAGAAUACGGAAUAUAAUGAAGAUGUGGGUGAAGUGGAUCGCAAAAAAAAAACAAUUUACAGGGAAAGAUAGUUAAAUCAGAUAUAAAGAU